AGAGUUUGAUCCUGGCUCAGGACGAACGCUGGCGGCGUGCUUAACACAUGCAAGUCGAACGGAAAGGCCCUUCGGGGUACUCGAGUGGCGAACGGGUGAGUAACACGUGGGUGAUCUGCCCUGCACUUUGGGAUAAGCCUGGGAAACUGGGUCUAAUACCGAAUAUGACCAUGCGCCUCCUGGUGUGUGGUGGAAAGCUUUUGCGGUGUGGGAUGGGCCCGCGGCCUAUCAGCUUGUUGGUGGGGUAAUGGCCUACCAAGGCGACGACGGGUAGCCGGCCUGAGAGGGUGACCGGCCACACUGGGACUGAGAUACGGCCCAGACUCCUACGGGAGGCAGCAGUGGGGAAUAUUGCACAAUGGGCGCAAGCCUGAUGCAGCGACGCCGCGUGAGGGAUGACGGCCUUCGGGUUGUAACCCUCUUUCAGCACAGACGAAGCGCAAGUGACGGUAUGUGCAGAAGAAGGACCGGCCAACUACGUGCCAGCAGCCGCGGUAAUACGUAGGGUCCGAGCGUUGUCCGGAAUUACUGGGCGUAAAGAGCUCGUAGGUGGUUUGUCGCGUUGUUCGUGAAAACUCACAGCUUAACUGUGGGCGUGCGGGCGAUACGGGCAGACUUGAGUACUGCAGGGGAGACUGGAAUUCCUGGUGUAGCGGUGGAAUGCGCAGAUAUCAGGAGGAACACCGGUGGCGAAGGCGGGUCUCUGGGCAGUAACUGACGCUGAGGAGCGAAAGCGUGGGGAGCGAACAGGAUUAGAUACCCUGGUAGUCC
rnacentral:rRNA from 1 species